AAAGAAACGACGGUAACACUUUCUAUGAAGAUCAUGCUUAUAAUGAAUUAUAGCUCCAUUUAUACUUAUUUAUAAGCAAGUAUUACUAUUUUAUAAACAUAUUUAUAAAGACUUAUUAAGACCUAUACCACAUUAUAAGAAAAGUUAUAGUUACAUUUAUAUUAUUUAUAUAAUUAAUCAUAAGUCAUGCAUUUGCUUUUUUAAUGCUCAUGCUCAUAAUCCAUUAUACACUGAUUUAUAAGUAUUAAUCAGUCAGUCGUAUGGUUCCAUGAAUGUAUUUAUAAAGAUGCAACCUGCAUUGUUAUUAUAUUAUAGUUACAAUUACAUUUAGUAAUUCAGAUUUAUUUCUGUCAAAUAAGUGAAUAUAUUGUUAUUAAUAGCCCUGUUUUGUGAGUAAUAAUUGUUACUACUCUCUAUAAAUGCAUCAUUGUUGGCUUUAAGUGAAGUGAAAACAUAGGAGCCAAUUUUCCUAAAGCAAAUGUUAAGAAAUCAUGAGGAUCUGCUCAUUAUACAUUUUAAGUUGCUUACUUGUAAAUGUAACUAAUGAAAAAUAAUACCUGUAAUAAUAAUUUUAAAAAAUCAGAAAUCAUUAAUACAAACAGUUGGAAAAAAGGCAUCUUUUUUAAUGUUACAUACUUGCAAAACACUGCAACAAUAUUUUUAAAGUAUAAUUCCAAAUUAUUAGCGUAACGCGAGACUCUACAGAGAGGGCGAGAUUCAUCAUGGCGACGUGUUGUCACUGAAAGAGUUGUACUAACUGUAACAACUGUACUAACUGUACUAACUGUACAAAGUGUAACAAUACUGUGGAGUAUUAUCACAUCAACAACUACUGGAUCAAAACUGCAUUCUGGAUAAAAAAAACGGAUUUAGAGGCAUACAUUGAUUACCGCUACAACUGCGGCAAAAUGGACAAUACCGUCACAACUCAGCAAAGCACCCCGAAACCAAACAAACGGAAAAAGACUUCAUCUACUGACACUAGCGAUCUACAGACUACAGAGACUACAGAGGUGGAGGACUUACCAUGGGACUCCCUGCGAAUGGACAGCCUUGAUUGAUCAGGCUGAACAUGUAGCACUACAUGGAACUCCUUGAUGGACUGACUCCCCCCGGGGCUUGAGUGAGGCUUUGUGGGAGUUCGUUGGGCCGCCACCUGUGUGGGGCUCACUGGGGGUGGACAGUGUGGAUGAACUGGGCUAAAUGAAUAUUACUUUAUCAAACUCCGUAAUAGACUGAAUUCCCCCCUCAUGGCUUGGGAGAGGUUUUGUAGGAGUACCUUAGCCUUGGAAUAUGCCCUAGUGAUACCUCCUGAGCAAUGGACAGAUUGAUCUGUGCCGCCUGAGCAUCGAAUAGCCCCAUGUAAGCCCCCAUCGGAUUUGUGCCAUCCCCCCCCCCCCCCUCCUCCUUUUUCCUCCCUUUUUUUUCUUUGUUUUUUUUUCUUCUUGAAGUAUGAAGUGCAUGAGUUAUAUACAUAACUUAUGCACUUCAUAUAAUAACAUGUAAGUUGUGUUUUUGUUGUGUACUUGUGUUGAUCUCCAAGUUAUCUGUACUGCGCUGUUAAUGUCUAUCUUUUUAUGUUAUGUUUUCGUUGUGUGUCUCAUUGUCUUGCUCUAUUAAAAAAAAAAAAAAAGUAUAAUUCCAAACUGCUAUUAGCAAUACCCUGCAUAUGGCUGAGGAUAUAUAGAUUUUAACAAAUCAAAAUCCAUGACCUCUAAUGCUAGCCAUUAAAGACAUAAUAACUAAUUGGUACAGCAAACUAUGGAACUAUUUGAUAUAUGAUCAUUUAUAAAUCAGUGUAUAAUGGAUUAUGAACAUGCACAUUGAAAAAGCAAAUGCAUGGCUUAUAAGUAAUUAUAAAAAUAAUAUAAAUGUAUCUAUAACUGUUCUUAUAAUGCAGUAUAGGUCUUAAUGAGUCUUUAUAAAUAUAUUUAUAGAAUGGCUAAUUACUUAUAAAUAGGCCUAUAAAUCAAUAUAAGCAUGGUCUUCAUAGAAAGUGUUACCGAAAUGACAAGUGAUUUGUACACAUUUGUUGAUUUGAAAUAUGGUGAAUAUGAAUAUAAAUUACCUUGAAAUGAAGGUGCUGUUGGCCACACUUGGCAGCAGGGAGACGACAGCGGUAGUAGACAGUGGUGACAAAAUCUAAUAAGUAAAAGAAAUAAAUGAUCUUGAGCUACCACUCUCAAAACAAAAGGGAAUAUUACAUGCUGUAUAAAAUGGCGAUUUAGAUUGCUAGACAGUCAGUUGAAAAGAAUACGUACCACAAAGGAUGCAAUGACCUCGCAAGAUUUUACAGAUAUAGAUUUACAUAAAAGGGAGAAAAAAUAAGAAAUAACAUUUGAUUCACUGCAAAAUAGGCUAACACAUAGGUCUGUAUGAAUGGAUGUACAGAAGAAUGUGAACAUGUUAAAAAGAAUAUUAUUGACUAAUCAGAAUCUUAUGAAUAUGUAAAUCUGAAAUAGCCAAAUUGAUGUAAAAUUUAUUUACCGCAAACAUUAUUAGAUGGCAACAAAUUUAAGGUGAAUGUGAGAGUGAGAAGAAAGAAAACACAUUACAAAUAUAGCUGCAAGCAGCGAUGGCGGGCCCAAGCCCGGUGGCUUCAGGGCAACUGUGCACGGCGGGCAAUAGGCAUUUAAAACGGUUAAACAUAAAAGGACUAUGUCAAAAUCAUUUGAAUACACCACAUUUACUGCAGCAGUUGGUGCCCAUAUGAUUACACACACACACACACACACACACACACACACAUACAAACAGAGACCCACACACACACAGAGAGAGAGAGAGAAAGAGUGAGACUGAGGGGGGAGGGGGGGGGGAGGACAGAGAGAGAGAGUGUGUGUGUGAAAAAUCCACAUUCAAACCAAAAUAUCUGACUUCCUGUUGGUCGGAGCUAAUGACUGUAAAUUAGAAAGUUGUCCGGCUUAAUGAGACCAAUAUGUGUACCGAGUUUGGUGACUGUAGGUAAAAAUAACGCCCCCACUUUUGUCAAAAGGUGGCGCUACUGAGCCCCUCCACCACGCCCGUUUCUAAGGCUUUGUCCAUGUCUACUGGUCGACAAUAUUGAUGUGUGUGUCGAGUUUCAUGCAAUUUGAUGUAUGUUAAGAGCCUCAAAAACACUCAAGAAUAUUAUUAAAGUUUGACAUGUUGCCAUGGCAACAAUAUUUAAGAUAUCACAAAUACAUUCACAGGUUUACAUCUGCCAUGUUUUGACAUUAUUGUGAUGAAGAUUGAAGCAAAUCGGGUAAAAAAAAAAGAGGGUGAUCUCAAAGCAUUUUGAAAGUGACACACUUCCUGCUGCCAGUUGGUGGCACUAUAACUUUGACUCACAAUAGUCACAUCCAUGUAAUCAGACUCCUACAACGAACACACAGCUGAAGUUUCAUAAAAAUCAAUCAAUGUAUGCAGAAGUUAUAACACAUUUCGUGUUUCCCUUUUCUCGCCAUAAAUCCGUUGCCUCGCCACGGCCAAACCGUUCGAGAUAUCAAAAAUCUGCUGACAAUUUUUCAUCAUCAAUGUCUUGACUUCAUGCUGACCGAGUUUGGUGGUGAUCAGAUUAAUCGCCUAGGAGGAGUAUAUCAAAUUCCAGAGCAUGCGUUUUUCAAACAACCCAUAAUAACUGACUUCCUGUUGAGCUGGCGUAUAACUUAGAGCACGAAAGUUGUUAUGCCCGAUGAGGUAUAUAUGUGUACUGAGUUUCAUACUAAUACAUGCAAGCAUGUUUGAUAUAUGGCCAAGUUUUUGGAUCCCAUUCAAGAGGGCGCUGUUAAGCCCCCAUGCCACGCCCAGGUCCCAGCCUCUGCGGCGUCCUAAUGGCUGCAGAUUCCAAUGUGUGUGCCAAUUUUCAAUAGUUUUUGAACACAUUAAGUACACUGACUGGACUCUGACUCACUAUUAUUCUGCACCCUGACAUUCUGUUUGCACUAAUUCAUGCUGUACUGCACUGCAAAGGUAAAAGUAUACUGUGAUAAUUGUGUUUAUUAUUGUUUUCGUUUUGUGUUCUCUGUAUAGAAUAUUGUACCAUAUAUUGUUCUCUACCUGUACUGAGCCCCUUUUGAAUACUGUGUAUACUGUUAAUACUUUGUUGCGAAUAUAUUCAACACUUGUCAUUAGUCACCCACACUGUCAUGCUGCAGAGUUUGCACAAAAUAAUUUCAUCACCUGUACACUUUCGUUCGUGUUAUUGUGACAAAGUGAUGUGAUUUGAAUUGGUCACAUCUUUUGUUAAUCAUUUGUGCUGUACAGUGCCGGAUAACAAUUUUUAAUUGUUUAGAGACAUGGAAGAUUAUGGUAGGGAGAUGGAUAAGCAAGCAAGAGGAAGAAAACCAGGGGAGCUCUGAUGAUGAGAAGGAAACUGGACGUGAUUCUGUGGUGUUCAAGACAUUUCACAAUGCAUGCAUUUGUGUGGCUUCAUCAGUUGUGAACUGAUUAAUGUCAUGUGGUUUUAACAUAACCCAUUUAUAUUUCUCUUGAAUAUAAUUUGUCUUUAUAUGCUACUUUAGCUGUCUUUAUGCUAUAUUCUCAAGUAAAGUGUUGUACAUGGUGUUGGAUAAUAAAGUUUGGUGAAUAUUCUA